rnacentral:rRNA from 1 species
CAGGUGGUGCAUGGUUGUCGUCAGCUCGUGUCGUGAGAUGUUGGGUUAAGUCCCGCAACGAGCGCAACCCUUAAGCUUAGUUGCCAUCAUUAAGUUGGGCACUCUAAGUUGACUGCCGGUGACAAACCGGAGGAAGGUGGGGAUGACGUCAAAUCAUCAUGCCCCUUAUGAUUUGGGCUACACACGUGCUACAAUGGACAAUACAAAGGGCAGCGAAACCGCGAGGUCAAGCAAAUCCCAUAAAGUUGUUCUCAGUUCGGAUUGUAGUCUGCAACUCGACUACAUGAAGCUGGAAUCGCUAGUAAUCGUAGAUCAGCAUGCUACGGUGAAUACGUUCCCGGGUCUUGUACACACCGCCCGUCACACCACGAGAGUUUGUAACACCCGAAGCCGGUGGAGUAACCAUUUGGAGCUAGCCGUCGAAGGUGGGACAAAUGAUUGGGGUGAAGUC